rnacentral:rRNA from 1 species
GAUGAACGCUAGCGAUAGGCUUAACACAUGCAAGUCGAGGGGCAGCAUGGUCUUAGCUUGCUAAGACUGAUGGCGACCGGCGCACGGGUGCGUAACGCGUAUGCAACUUGCCUCACAGAGGGGGAUAACCCGUCGAAAGACGGACUAAUACCGCGUACACUUACAGGAGGGCAUCCUCCAGUAAGGAAAUGAACUUCGCUGUGAGAUAGGCAUGCGUCCCAUUAGCUAGUUGGUGAGGUAACGGCUCACCAAGGCGACGAUGGGUAGGGGAACUGAGAGGUUGAACCCCCACACUGGUACUGAGACACGGACCAGACUCCUACGGGAGGCAGCAGUGAGGAAUAUUGGUCAAUGGGCGAGAGCCUGAACCAGCCAAGUCGCGUGAAGGAUGACUGUCUUAUGGAUUGUAAACUUCUUUUAUACGGGAAUAACAAGAGUCACGUGUGACUCCCUGCAUGUACCGUAUGAAUAAGCAUCGGCUAACUCCGUGCCAGCAGCCGCGGUAAUACGGAGGAUGCGAGCGUUAUCCGGAUUUAUUGGGUUUAAAGGGUGCGUAGGCGGCCUGUUAAGUCAGCGGUGAAAUCUAGGAGCUUAACUCCUAAAUUGCCAUUGAUACUGGCGGGCUUGAGUGUAGAUGAGGUAGGCGGAAUGCGUGGUGUAGCGGUGGAAUGCAUAGAUAUCACGCAGAACUCCGAUUGCGAAGGCAGCUGACGGGAGCGCAACUGACGCUUAAGCUCGAAGGUGCGGGUAUCAAACAGG